rnacentral:lncRNA from 1 species
GUAAGAAAUGCUCUAGUUAAAGGCACCGUGUGAAACAGAGAAGUGGAACUUCACAACCUUCCCGACCCACAGUCUUUGAACAGUGAGCUCUCUGCCUCAUCGAAGCUAUGGGCAGGACUUCUGCAAGCCUCUCUCCUUCUCACCCCGAUGUGUUCACGCGUGUGCGUGUGGGCAUGAGCAUUUCGAAGACUGAAACUUUAAAGUAGAGUCCUUAUAUGGAGAUUGGAAGAUGCAGUGUUGGCCAUGUGAGCAGCCAG